GUAACCCAUAUCACCAGUAUGUAGAACUCCAGUGAUGUGGUCUGGAGUCUACAGAAGACCCUUUUUCAUUGUUUGCAAGUUUCACAUAUACAUACAUACAUACAUACAUACAUACAUACAUACAUACAUACACACACACACACACACACACACACAUACACACACACACACACACACACACACACACACACACACACACACACACACAUAUACUGUGGGUAUUAUCAACUCCAUCCACUACUCUUUCCUUUCUAACUCUUCCUAUACACCCACUGUUUCUCCCUCUGAACUUCAUACACUCUUUUGCUAACCCUCUGACUUAGUGCAUGGAGAGAAAAAGAAUCAACUUUCUACAAAAGAAUCUUAUCUAGUUUGGGCUAACUUACUUAAAAUUAUUAAAGUUAUUUUCUAGUUUUCUUUAAACAUCCAAUUAUAAUUUUGAAGUCAAGGGAAGGAUCAUGGAGACAAAGAGAAAUAGAGAAUCCCCACUGCGCAGAGUUCAACUGUCCCAGUAUGUCCAGUCCAAGUCUUUAUUAUGAUUCAGUGCUACUUCCAAGACGUCUGUACCUAUGUUUAUCUCAAAGGCACACCCAAAAAAGAAAAUAAGUACAAAGGCCAUGGCUUUGUGGCCUAUUCUAAAAGGACCAUCACACUUAGUUAAUCUACUGCUGCUUUCGCUUGAAAUUGUCAAUGGUUUAAAACCGAAAGUCUAUAUUUUACACUGGCCCUGGAAUUUAUUUGGUGGGACCCAGAGACAAAGGAAGCCAGAGUAGCUUGCUGAGAGGAAUAACUGCCUACAACAUACUACAGUGGUAAGUCUCAUAAAAAACAAACAAACAAACAAACAAAAGCAACAACGAAAAAAUCUCAUGGCACUCUACCCAAUUAUAAAAAUUCUAGAAUCAGUACAGUUGAUCUUCAACUCUCUUUCUUCUUAUAAAAGGUAGCAAAGGUUAAGAAAUGCACAAUAAUGGCAGAUAAAAACUAGAGGGUCCCCACCCCUAGAAGCUUGUACUCACUGUACAGAUUUUAAUUAAUAUUAAACAUAAUACAUGUUAAUUUUUCUAGAGCAUCCUUUCUCUAUACCAUGGUGUAUUUUUAAAGCUGGUUCAUAGUUCUCUAAGAAUGAGAAUUUCCAAGAACUGGGAUUAUUUAUAAGUAUUUAUAAAUAACCACUUUUACUUCCCCCACCCCUUCUACAAAGAGCAGAGAGAAAAGUUUGCUCAACUCAGGAGUAAGCACAGACUUGUAUCAGUCACUGAAGGUUUAUCUAGAAGAGGGGUGAUUACAAAACGCUGUAGCUCACAGCAAUGUAACUCUUUAAAGCCAGAUGUUGGAAUAUGUUCAUCUACCUAAAGUUCUUCCUAGAUGCCCAUUGUCAUUGCAGAAAGCCAGAUAAGAAUAAAAGAAAAAAAAUCCCUGCACAAAGUCUACUUAUAUUCAGAUCUUAGAAUAAAUGUCACUUGCAAAGAGAAGAUGAGUUUUCAAACUAAAGAGCGGCUCUCCUGCUAUACUCUUUAAGGGCAUCUGUUGUUUAACAUUAAAGUUCAUUUCAUGAGUUUUUUUUUUAAUUCCGGAUUUUGUGUAUCUUGUUUUGCUCAUAUGUUAAAUUUUAAACUUGAGGAAGAGUAGCAAGUACCUCACUCUUUAUGAUAAGCCAAGCAUUUGCUCUGAACCCUAAGAACACCGUGAAUAGUCUAUGCAUGUUAUGACUGUGACUUCAAUAUGGCUUUCACCCCAAAGUUCAAGCUUUGAGAGGCACGUCCUCAGUUCAGUAGUAAAAGGUUGAGCCUUUAGGCCAUGAAGCCUAUUGAAUGGCCUUCAGGCUAUUGAGGCUGUAUACUUGACAAGACUGUAGGACCUCAGCUGCUUUGGUUUCCUAUUUUGAAAUGAGACUGUUACAUAGUCUCAUGGAUGCCAUCUGCCAUGCGCUGACAUAGCCAAGAAGGGUCCUUUUUAGAGUCUACACAAUGCUGUCUUAUAGCCUCCAAAACUAUAAGCUAACUAAACAUCUUUUCUUUAUGAAGUUAGUCUCCCUUGGGCAUUUUGUAGGGUAACUCAGAAUAGACCAAUGUGUACAGUGAAUUUAGG
rnacentral:lncRNA from 1 species